CCUACGGGAGGUAGCAGUGAGUAAUAUUGGUCAAUGGACGAGAGUCUGAACCAGCCAAGUAGCGUGAAGGAUGACUGCCCUAUGGGUUGUAAACUUCUUUUAUAUGGGAAUAAAAUGUUCCACGUGUGGGAUUUUGUAUGUACCAUAUGAAUAAGGAUCGGCUAACUCCGUGCCAGCAGCCGCGGUAAUACGGAGGAUCCGAGCGUUAUCCGGAUUUAUUGGGUUUAAAGGGAGCGUAGGUGGAUUGUUAAGUCAGUUGUGAAAGUUUGCGGCUCAACCGUAAAAUUGCAGUUGAAACUGGCAGUCUUGAGUACAGUAGAGGUGGGCGGAAUUCGUGGUGUAGCGGUGAAAUGCUUAGAUAUCACGAAGAACUCCGAUUGCGAAGGCAGUUCACUGGACUGCAACUGACACUGAGGCUCGAAAGUGUGGGUAUCAAACAGGAUUAGAUACCCGAGUAGUC
rnacentral:rRNA from 1 species